GGGCUUCCCGUCCGCUCAGCCGUACUUAAGCCACACGCCGGGAGGUUAGUAGUUGGGUGGGUGACCACCAGCGAAUCCCUUCUGUUGUAUGUU
rnacentral:rRNA from 1 species